CGCCCUUGAGAUGGAAGAGUUUUUCGCUGAUGCGGAGAGAUUCCAACAGCAAAUAUCUAUGGAGAAGUACAACUUUGAUCCGAUAAACGACUACCCGCUCCCGGGGAGGUAUGAAUGGGUGAAGCUGGAUUACUAGGGCUUGAAGUAUCAAAAUCUUCAUCUGGCAACAGUUUCUUUCCCUUUCUCAACCUCUCCAAUUGUCCUUAACUUCUCCUCUCUGUGUUGUAAAAAUAGCAAAUCUAACUAGUUUGUAGCCUCUAAUUAUCUGUACCAUAGAGAAUUGGUGAUGAGUUGCACCUUGGAAAGAAAAGAAGGACAAAACAAAAGGAAAAAAAAAAAAGCCCCUAACUCCUGAACUUCACUGUUACUCUUACAAGGUCAUCAUUCUCUAUAAGUCACAAAUGUUGUUCAAAUUUUCUCUCUUUAAGUAUUAUGUUCACAAUCUCUUCUUGGUCUGUGUGGGUUCUGGACAGUGUAGUCAGAUUAACUUUCGUCUAUAUUGCUGCUGAAUGGCUAAUGGACCUGAAAAAGAAAAGCUCAUUGGCUGAUGGACCUGAUGGACAAAAGCUCAUUGAAUGUGGCCAAGUCCAUGUUGGCUCGAUGAUAAUUAGAGGGAAUGAGUAUUGUGGGCUAGUUACAAUGAAUAUAUAUAUUUUUUCUUUGUUAUGGUUUACUUAUUUCUCUUUGAUUGGUUGAUGAUCACUAAUUCAUUGUGAUGUAGUGGUAUUAAAGAUGGAGUGCAUAUUUAGAACCCUUUCACUGAGCAUCAACCAUAAGCCAUAUUAAUUCUGUUCAAGCUUUUUAUCGUGCUGCGUUUCACUAGCAUUUGAAUUGCGGUAUCAAUCAUUUUGCCCUGAUUCUUCUCUCUUUUUUCUUUUAAUUUGUGAAACAGGUUCGUUUUCUUACUAAAAUUUAUCAUCCCAAUAUUGACAAGGCAAGUAGUAAGAUUAUCUUAGGUUAUCUUUUGCUGUCUAUUAACAUCUUUGAGGAUUUGUAAAUUUAAUACAACGACUUUAUUUAUGCAGCUUGGAAGGAUAUGCUUUGACAUUUUAAAGGACAAAUGGAGUCCUGCCCUCCAGAUAAGGACAGUUCUAUUGAGAUAGCAUGAUCGUUUCUUUGUGGUGAUGCGCUUUUAUAUUUAGUAACAACCAUUGCAAGAAAUGCAUUUUGCUUGAAUUUAGCAGCCUUUCUCAUGAUAUUCUAAAUAAUAUCUAUCUUUCUUUAUUAUGUAAGAAAUUGUUCUCGUUGUGUCAGUAUUGUUUUCUAGUAUUCAGGCACUUCUUAGUGCGCCAAACCUGGAUGACCCACUGUCGGACAACAUAGCUAAAUAUUGGAAGGCCAAUGAAGCAGAGGCUAUUGAAACCGAUUUUGUACUCGAAAGAAGUGAAAGCGCACCUUUUGCAGGUUGCAGGUGGCAAUAAUUCGAAUGAUUCAUCUCCAAACAAUUAUUUUUCAAAUGCAAGUCACGAGCUUGGAGGGAAUGAGAUUAUAUGUAUAGAUGUUAGAUGAGAUUAUGUAUUUUGGUUUACAUUCGAGCUUUGAGGGAACGAGAUUAUGUAUAGAUGUUGGAUGAGAUUAUGUAUUUUGGUUUACAUAUUAUGUUGAAUUAUAAAGUUUUUAAUAAUGUUAAUGAAUUG